rnacentral:misc_RNA from 1 species
AACGCACCUUGCACCGUACGAGCAAUCGUACGGUAUACCUGUUUGAGAAUCGUAAAACUCUCUUUCCGCUACAAGUUAGUGGAAGAUUUGUCGGUUGUGCAUCAGUGCACUCUGAUUAAAAGGAUCAAGUCUGAAUCGGGCUGGUGGCCUGGGACAUUGUGUGCUAGAGACGUCGCUUCGGCUGACUGUCUUCUCACAAUGCGUCCUUGGCUACUUAAAGCUGGUCUGAUUUCGGGCUUUUCAGUAGUAUAACUACAACCCCCCUUUUUGAUCUCAAAUCAGGUAAGGCUACCCGCUGAACUUAA